UGUCAAUGCCAUUCAUAGGCAAUCACUAAGGCACAUUUCCAUGUGGAAUGGCAACUUGGGUGGGUUUAUGGGGUUAGACACCCAGUCCAUUCUAAGUGGGAAAAUAUAUGAGGGAGAUAAAUGGGCUUAUGAUUGAGUUUGAUACACUGUAAGCCUAGGGAUGAUAACGUGUUGGGUAUUUUCGGGUAUUCGGUCUGUUUGAACCCUAUUGGAACAGAUUCGGGUAGUAUAUAAUCAGAUUUGGAAUGAGUUCGGGUUUAGGAAUUAAUACAUGUGUCAGGUUCUGUUUUUAUACGUUGGGUACCUAUUAUCCG
rnacentral:misc_RNA from 1 species